rnacentral:rRNA from 1 species
UACGUAGGGGGCGAGCGUUAUCCGGAUCCAUUGGGCGUAAAGCGCGCGUAGGCGGCCGCCUAAGCGGAACCUCUAACCCCGGGGCUCAACCUCGGGCCGGGUUCCGGACUGGGCGGCUCGAGUGCGGUAGAGGAGAGCGGAAUUCCCGGUGUAGCGGUGGAAUGCGCAGAUAUCGGGAAGAACACCGAUGGCGAAGGCAGCUCUCUGGGCCGUCACUGACGCUGAGGCGCGAAAGCUGGGGGAGCGAACAGG